ACGCAAGCCUUCCAGCAUGCCUGGGCCUGAUGUGGCCUUGUGUAUUCCUGUAGUGCUUGCCAAAGCAACCUUGAGGUGGUUUGAGGCCUCUCCCUGACCCCUUCCAGAGAGAGGUUAUAGAAAUCUCAGACAAUU